UGUAACUAACCUAUCUACAAGCUCCUUGAGCCUCACAGCCCCUGAGCUAGGCCUGAUCCUAGCCACAUCUUCGACAACCGAGCACUCUGGUUUCCCACCGCACCAACCGCCUGGAGUAAAACCGUCUUCGUUUAUCCGUAUAAGCAGUUCCUUAUCAAUCUUAUCCAAAACAGUAUCAUUUCUUCUGAACUUCCGACCAAAUGCAGAUCCGCUCGAAAUCAUCUUUCCCAUGUCUCUUUGAGACAACAUACGAGGAUGCUGCCUCGGUGGCUUGUCCCAUGCGAUGUAGUGAAG